CCGUUCGAAGUACUCUCACAGCGUGGUUACAGUACAAGAUGGCGACCGCGUGCGUUCAAGAAGUAAUUACAGCGGCUCACCUCUAUCCGCUUUAUCGUUACGUAUCGGUGUCAUGAUCAAAAGAUUUCCGAUAUUUAGACUGCUUAUUAUGAUAUAUAUGAUCGGCUUACAUUUGUGGGUGCUUACAGUACUCUUCACGAGUAAACCAGAAGACUUCGUGUCGAGGCCAACGAAAUCAUGAAUUCGAAUAUCACUUAUAGGAUAAAAACAAGAUGCAUUAAAUUAAACCACAUAUUAUACGAUAUAUUAUUUCUGAGCUGCCAACAAGAAAUCAGUUAAAUAGAAGGAGUGGCUUAAGUUCAGUGGCAAACUAUAGUCUCUUCGCGUUAAGGACUUAGCUUAGUCACGCCCUUAUUAAUAAAAUCGUAGAACUAGAGCGCCACGUUCAUAUUGGCUAGUUGAUGUAAGUUCUUCAGACAGACAGAAUUUACUGUGAUUUAAUUAGCUUGACUAAUUAAUAUAUAACAAAUUACAUCGCGUGGGUGUGGCUAAGCUGAGCGACAUCAAUGAGUUACUAUUUUCUUCACGUGAAUAUAUAAUGGUGCCUAAAUAGUGCUUCUAUUUAACUGAUUAUUUGUAUAGAACUUAGAAAUUGAAUGUAACAAUAUGCGGUUUAAUUUAUUGCCUUUGACUUGUGUCCACUCUGUAUAAAAAUAAAUAACUAGUUAAUACUUAAAAUCACACAGUACCUUGUGUAAAUAAAUAAAUAAAGCAAUAUUGAUUUAAUUUACAAUUGUAAUUAGAAAGUUUCGUUAUGAAUGAAGGGUAAAAAAAAACAAUAAUUGUAAAAAUAUUUUGCUCAUUGUAUUCCACUGAAUCGUUUGUGACAACAUCUACAUUCAAAAUAUUAAAUUGUUUUAAAAGUAUUGUGUAUAGUGUAUAAAAAAAUUGGGAUUGAAAAUUGGUAAUCUCAGCCAUGGAUGCGCCAUAUAUUAACUUGCCAGUCUAUUCUAUUACUACGUUAGCGUUCUUUUUAAAAACAAAAUAAUGUUUUUUUUAAAUUAAUUAUGUUGUAAAAGCGUAAUAAAUAAAUGUUAUAUGUA